AAACCAUGUAUCGGGCAUUUUCUAAUCAAUUCCUUAAAUCACUCCCAAGCUUCAUUCAAUGUCUCAUCUUCAGAUUGCUGAAAAGAUGUAAUAUCGUUACUCAUUUU
rfam:Gossypium arboreum cultivar AKA8401 contig_30887_1, whole genome shotgun sequence.